rnacentral:rRNA from 1 species
GACGAACGCUGGCGGCGUGCUUAACACAUGCAAGUCGAACGAUGAUGCCAGCUUGCUGGUGGAUUAGUGGCGAACGGGUGAGUAACACGUGGGUGAUCUGCCCCGAACUUUGGGAUAAGCCUGGGAAACUGGGUCUAAUACCGGAUAGUACCUUCCCUUGCAUGGGGGUUGGUGGAAAGCUCCGGCGGUUUGGGAUGGGCCCGCGGCCUAUCAGCUUGUUGGUGGGGUAAUGGCCUACCAAGGCGACGACGGGUAGCCGGCCUGAGAGGGCGACCGGCCACACUGGGGCUGAGACACGGCCCAGACUCCUACGGGAGGCAGCAGUGGGGAAUAUUGCACAAUGGGCGCAAGCCUGAUGCAGCGACGCCGCGUGAGGGAUGACGGCCUUCGGGUUGUAAACCUCUUUCACCAGGGACGAAGCGUGAGUGACGGUACCUGGAGAAGAAGCACCGGCCAACUACGUG